GCAUUUUAAUAGCUGUCUGCGCGGAAAUCACUCAGCUCUGGAGUUGUGAAAGAGAAGGCUGACAAUAAAGUCCUGCGGGUCAGCAGAGGAACGUUUCGGCUAAGGAAAAAUAAAUAAAAACAACCCACGGGGUUUGCAUUGACUCGCGGUGAUGCUUGGAAUAACGGACUGCACGGGCUUGUACCUGCCUGUCCUUAGGAACUCGCUCCAGAGCCAGUGAUCCCGGUCACCAGCCUGCUUUUGCAAGACCCAGAGGAAUGACAGCGCUAGCAGAGCCUUGUUGAAUGCACGGACCUGUUCCACUCAACUUGCUUGGAAUUGCCAGCGCUGCUCACCAGGCAGUGACUCGGGGAUGUACUGGUUCUAUGUUUUGCACUUUAUUCUGCCACUCUCUGGUUUUGCACUCUGGUUUCCCUUCACUCUAGUAUUAUGGAAAUAUUGCUGUUCCUCCUUGGACUCCCUGUAGUUUGUCAUUUUGGAGCCCUCGGUGAGAACAAUAGCACUUCCCAGUUUGGUAAUGGGAUGCUGAGUUUGUAUCUGCAAAUGCAGCCACAGACUUCUGUCUUUUGGCCAGGUGUUCUGAAGAAGAUAAACUCAUUCUGUGGACUACUGUGGAUUACCCUUGGAAAUACAAUUAGUUGUGUGCCUGCAUCCAUUAAAAUACAUUGAACAAGGACUGUCAGACUUUGAAAUCUAAGAGAAGCUUUUACCAAACCUCCUUAAGCUUUAUGACAAACAUUAAAAGGUAAUUCCUUGAUUCCCUACCGGGAAAAUGAAUUUGCUUUAUGCUGCGUUCUGCCUACAGACAUCUGACUCCCUCCCUGCUUUUUCCUUACCAAAGAAAAUAUCACUGAGAGACUUCCCCCACAGAUACAUCCAGAUGAACACAGAAUAAACCUGCUUUUACAGAAAUAAACCCCAGUGAUGCCAGGAUAAUGAGGACACAGAGUGGAAUCCAUCAGUAGAGCACGGCAGAGACAUGGUGGUAACACAUCUUUAAUGUGCAAGGACAACGUUCAAGUGAAGCUGAUAUGAAAAACAGUACUCCAGCUGCAGACAGGGAAAGAAGAAUAGACAACCUGAGGCCUUUAAAUCUUCCCUGGGUAAUAAAAGCCUCCCACACCUUCAGGGCACACAGGGCUCUUGCCUCCGCUCCGCAGUCAGUGAUGUCUCUUCCUCAGCACAGUGUCAGUGCCACAGGGCUGGAGGCUCUCCCAAAGAAUGCUCGGCUUGUUCAGAAAUAAAGGGCAGGAGCGCUGCCAAGCCGAAGUGGGGGCUGGCUGCGGCUGCUGGGUGCAGAAGACCACAGGGGAGUAGAGACCGUUGUGCAUCUACAACUCCAGCGAAGUUCGAGACCGUUGCUCCCCCAGGAGAGCGAGAGGCACAUCCCCAAGGCUGCCGGCCUAGGGGCAGCGCUUCGGCUGCCUAGGGCAGUUCGGGACUACCUCUAACGCCGGGAGGCUGGCAUCGAGGGUGAGAAAUGUUCGCUAUCCUGGCCUCUCGCCCCUGCUUCCCACCCCUUCACCUGCAGCAUGGAGACAGCGAUGGCUCUGAUGGUGCGGAGCAAGGUGGGAAAGAAGGCGACGGGUUUGCCAGCCCUCGGGAAGAGCAGAGCCGGGCGGCAGGAACCCUGGGACUCCGGGAGAAGGCAAAUCGCCGUCUGCUGCUCUCGCCGAGGCGCGGGCACCGUGCAUCCCCCCCGCUCCAUUUCCCCCUCCCCGCCGCUAUCUCCCGCAGCCCCUCACUUGCAUGCAAACCCCUCCGGCCGUGCCGCCAGCCGGAGACCCCGGGACAUCCUCCUACC